CCCUCGGAGGCCAAAGGAUGAUUCAUUGCUGCUUAUCGGAAGGUUCCAGAUGGUCUUCUGUUACUGUAGCUUUAAUUCAAAUCACAGAGAAAGGGUCAGCAGAGCAUAGUGUUUAAAAGCACAGACCAGCCUCUGGAGCCAGACAGCUCACUUUGGAAUCUCAGCUCUGCCGUUUGCUACUGUGUAACCUUGGGGUUGGAAUUAUACCAGCAAUGCCUCCCAGAUCUUCCUGAGAUCAACCUCUGCCCAGAUUGUGAAAGGAUGGCCAGCUUUCAGGUCUCCUGUUGCUGAGUUCUUUCUCAAGAGGAUCUGUGUGUUACCUUUUGCUAAACUGCCCAAUCCACUUGCUUGGAUCGCCAAAUUUUAUCUAUUUUUUCUUUUGUCUAUUCCCAUAUCUCUGGAGAAUGCCUGCUUAGAGCACUCUUCCCACCCCUCACCCAACCUACCAUCACCAUCUCUUUACAUUAUCCAGGACUCCAAGCACCUGUAGCUUCUGGUAGGGCAAUUGUUCCCAUCACCCAUUACCCCCUGAGCUGGUAUCGACAGACUUCUUGAACCCUGAAGGGCUUUCCUUCUGGUAUACUCAGUAGCCAUUUCUGUCAUCUGACAGAGUUUGGUCAGAUGUUAACCAAAAUAUGACAAUAGUUGGUUCUUCUGCAGACCAGGAAGCCUCACCUGUGAUUGUGAAAUAAGCUCAGAAGCUGAGCUAGAAGAGGAACAAGAAAAUUCUCCUCUGCUUGCUCUUUACUCCUAAGAUUAAAGAAAGAGUCCAAGCCUUUUGGAAAUCCCUGUUCAAAGGCAUUUCCAUCUUACUCUUCACAGAAUCAAAAAAGUAAGCUUAUUUUUGAUCUCACUAAAGUUGUUGAGAAUUCAAAAUGCUGAAAAAUUUUAAUACAUUAUAAAACUGCAUAACUAGCCAAAAAUGAAACGUGCCUAAAUGCCCAUAGAAUGGUAGUUUUAAUGUGGUAUAUAUUUACAACAGAACACCUGAUCAAUGAGAAUGAAUGAUGUGGAUGAAUUUCAAGACAAAAUACUGAGUUAAAGAAGUCACAUGCACAUAUACUGUAAGAUUACAUUUAUUUAAAGUUCAAAAAGAGGCAAAUCUAAUAUACGUUAUUAAAAGUCAAAACAGUGCUUACCUUGUGGGGAUGGGAGGCUGUGAACAGAAGGGAGCAUGGGGUGAGCUCUCGAGUUUCUGUUCAUGUUCUCUUUUUGAUCUGGGAGCUGGUUACAUGGACAUGUUCAGUUUGCAAAAAUUCACAGAACUGUACACUUGUGAUAUAUGCAGUUUUCUAUGUAUGUUAUAC